AUUAAUCUGAAGCUGAAGCAGGAAUACAAUCACCAGUCGCUAAUCCCAUGAGCUAGUUUGGAAUAGCGUCUAGCCAGAAGCAAGAUCGUUCGAUAGGCGACACCAUACUCGCACAGGAGUAUACCAUCAAGUUAGCUUUUGUACGAACCCACACAAUUCUAAAAGAAAAAAAAAACUCCUACUAAGCUCCGUGAUGCCAUGCCAGAGGCUACCUAUCGAGCAGCGAGAUCCAUCAGUAGACCCCAAUGUAUUCUUCAAGCCAUAGCAAUUCAUUUCAAACACCACAUAUUCCAAGCCCACAUCCACCGCCAGCUCCAAGCCUUCUUUCGCUGCCAGUGCCUCAACAGUCAGUCGGAAAAUGUGUGUGGUAAUGGGGAGGAUCCUGGAUCUUGAGAGUAGCAAAAAUUUCCUAUCUAGAGUUGGAGCAUGAGUAGUGCUCUAUCAGAUACAAUGCUAUAAUUGUAGUCGGAUAUAGUUUCUGCAAGAGUUUUAAGACUAUCGCAAUAAGGUAGGGCCAAUUGGGAACACUUAUCGUUCAAAUGUAUAAAAGGUUGUAUUUCAACAAUAAACUAAAUUUUAAGUAAAAAUAAAAUCAUAGUGGCAUUUCAUUUCAGCCUUCACCUUCUUAAAUUAUUCUCUACUACAAGGCAAAAGAUUAAUUAACAAAAAUUUGGAGUGUUUUUCAUAAAAACUUACUAAUAUGACUUCUACACACUAUGCAUGAAACAUCAGUUACUGUUGUUAUAUUAGUUGUAAAAGUCCAUUAAGUUUAAUGAUGCUAUGAGUUCUAGGAUGACAUCUUUUUUUUACGCGAGCAAUUAAAACAUGUACCUAUAAAUGCCUGAGAGAUCUUGUACCAUUACUUAAUAAUUAAUAUUAUUUCACGUGUACCACCAUAUAUCAAAAUAACAAAAAAACAUAUCGAAAGAACUUGCUCCUGUUUGUACAUUUGUAGACCUUCUAAUCUGGCAAUCAAUGAACAUCGCCUCUCACUUGUUUCUUCAUUAGUUUACCUAUUAUUAGUUUUGACCAAUCUUGCUUGCACCAUCCGCAUGCUUGUGGCUUUACUAUAUUUCCAUACAACUCAUUGCAAGGAGUUGUGAAAAGAAAGGGAAAACAGAUCAUUUAGCAAUGCAACAUCAUUAAUUAACAGCUUCGAUUUUUUUUAAUUGCUUAGGUUGCUAUGCCCUUCGUGAAAUCAUCGCGUUUGAAGCUAUGUUUCUGACUGUAUACGAUUGUAACCACAAACAAACC
rnacentral:lncRNA from 1 species